rnacentral:snRNA from 1 species
GUGAUUUUCAGCACACACUUCAGCCUCACAUAUACUAAAAUGGGUUCAAUACAGAGAAGAUUAGCAUGGCCACUGUGCAAGGAUGACAUGCAAAUUCAUGAAGCAUUCCAUAUUUUC